CGAACACAUUUUUAGUCUAACAUAAGAAAUGCUCGAAAUGCUUAAAUCUUGAUUCAAUGUAUGUAUGUUUAAAUGUACGCCACUUACGACUAGUUAUCAGUUCUUAGAUAAUCCUGCAAAUGAAUGAGUGGUUUUACAGUAGUGAAUCAAUAAAUAAGCCCAAAAAACUCAAUUAAAUUUCAAAUAUUGUUUUUAGUCAACCCAGAGUUAAUUCAUCAAAAUCAGUCAGCCCUAUCGGCAAUACAAUUUCCCUGGAAAAAUUUCUCUAUUCCGAAAAAUCGGUAUCGGCAAUACUUUUUGAAUAGAAAAAUUUCCUAGGAAAAAAUUCCCACACAAAAAUACCUAUCGGGAAUGAAGUUUCUCCCCCGAAGUAUUUCUAUCAUAUUUUUUUAUGGGGAACAGAUAUUUUGAAGCCAAAAUGUACGUGUUUUUCUUUCAAAAUAUUUUAUUAUUAAAUUAUUUACUUCCUUAAUCCAACAAAAAGCAAAUGAUAUUGCAACUGGAUAACGCAAAAUAGUAGACAAAAAUAAAAUAUAAGAAAACCUUAAAAAAAAGCAUGGAACUAAAGGAGACCAUUCCGAGAGCAUUAGUUUGCUGCUUUGGUCGAAGAAAUGAUUAAAUUAUGUGGAAUGCCUCAAUUUAUUUCAGUUAUUUGUUUAUCAUGUCAAAAAAAAAACAAAGCUUAAAAAACUUAAUUGAUUGAUUCUUUAAUUAAAAUUAAAAACACAAAACUAAUGGGCAAAAAAUAAAAAAAAUUAUUGAAUAAAAAUCUACAAAUCAACACCAAAGAAAAAAAUUAUAUAAAUAUUGACUAUUAAACAUUUUAAUUGUUUUUGUGCACUACAUACAAUCAAAUUAGAGUUGUCAAAAUUUUCGAAGACAUGCGUUCGAAUGUUUUUUUGUUUUGUUAAGUUGGCUGUACUUCUUUCCCGAAAACGAAAUUCCGAUGGAGAUUGCCGAUAAGGAGAAAAAUUCCCGGGAUAGAAAACCUACUCCCGGGGAAAUUUCUCACGUGAGAUUGCCGAUAGGACUGAGUGAGUUAACUCGGGGUUUACCUAAUACUCGCAGUGAAAAACUGGCACCCCUAUUGCGAUUGUCAAUUAUCAAUUGGAUAAUUAAUAAAUCCUGAAAUUUUGCACUUUCAAUCUCAUUUUAUUAUGUAAUGGGCCAAUGUAACAGUAAUUUUUAUUAAUACUAUUACAAUUUAUGACAGCCAACAUCUAACAUCGAAACUUUUAAAAAUCGAGUUUCUAAGAAUUUAAUUUUAACUUUUAUCAGCUUUCAAUUCAUCAUAGACAAUCGUAGUAGGAGUUGUGGGUCUUAGUAAUAUCAUUUAUGAAAACACCAACAAUCUUGACGAAAAUUCUGAGAAGUGGACGUUUUCUUAAAAAAUUCCAUGUUUUCGAGAAUUCGAAUACAAAAUUUGGAAAAAUUUUACUCAUUCACUAAAAUUCCAGGGUCUUUGAUUCUCACAUUCAGAGGCAGUGUUAUUUAUUAAUAGAAGUAUACUUUAUUUCGUAUGCAAAUUUGGGAUUUUUUUUUAAAUUCAAAAUGUGUUAAUUUAUGGGUGGUAUCGCUAGUAUUUUGUAAGUAUGUAAUCAGGAACUGUGAACUUGUAUAUUAUGUAUAUCCAAUUUCUAUAAUUUAUUUAUCCACAUUUUUUGCUGCUGUUUUAUACAAAAACUUUCUUAUUUAGAAAAAUGUGUCAUAUAAGUAUCUUGUUUUGUUUGGAGGGGGUAUAUGAAAAAGCAAUUUGUUCUUUGCUGAUGAUUAUUUGGUGCAAGGUAAGAUACAAAUUAAUUGAAAUAAGUAUCUUUUUAAAUGAUAAAAUAGGCAGUUUUAUUCCAGAAACAAACUCUUUUUUUUUUAAUAUACAGUAUCAAACAUAUUAUGUGCUAUAGAAAAAAUAUAUUGUUGAUAGUUGCACUGUGUUUUUAUAAAUGUUUUUCAUUUUUCUUUAAGAUGUUUUGGUCACCUGGAAAACUCGACUUUUUUCUCCCAAGUUUCAAAAUAUCACUCAGCGUUUUUGGGUGGCUCUUGUUUGUUUUGAAUUGAAAAUAAUUUAAAAGUGUAGGUGGUUGGAAAGAAUAAAAGUAUGAGCAGAGAGAUGAGUGUUAAAAAUGAGGAUGAGGGAAUAAAGUUUAUUAGAGUUGUGUUCGGGUAUGUAUUUCAUUUAAAAAGUAUAUUGGCUGUUUUUUUUUCAACAUACACAUUUAUUAUAAUUGAUUAUAAACAUAUUACAAGAUUGAAGAUAUUUUGUCACAUGUUAUAUAUAUGUACCUUAACCUUAAUUUUUCUGAGAAAUACUUACCUUAUAUUUACAUGAAAUAUAUUUUCCCUUUUAUAUAUUAUGUAUAAAAACCAUGUCAAACCAUAUUCAAAGUUUAUUAUGUGUUUCUUCAUAUCUAGCCCUGGGCAGUUUGAUGCUCGUUGAGUAUACAUAGUUUCUGAAGUGUGUGUGUUCAAAUAGUAUUGAUGCGCCUCUGGACGAAAACGAAAACAAAUAAAAAAAAACGCAUUAAAACCCUCCUUCCAGAGUUAGUUAAAAAUAAAGAAAACACACAACACUGUUCAAAGUUUAAAAAAAUAAAAAAAAAAGUAAUUGUGCAUAAUCCAGACUCAGGUAAAUUUUCUUUUAUAUUCUUGAAUAUAAAUAAAUGUGUUUGUCCAUUUAAUGAAAUAAAAUAUUAUAUAUUUUACCCAUAUAUAUUUAAAUAUAUAAAAUUUUAUCUUUCCAAUAUAUUGAAAAUAGG